GUAAGUCAUCGAAUCUUUGAACGCACCUUGCGCCCUUUGGUAUUCCGAAGGGCAUGCCUGUUUGAGUGUCAUUAAAUUAUCAACCUUGCUCGCUUUUACCGGCUUGAGUUAGGCUUGGAUGUGAGGGUCUUUGCUGGCUUCCUUCAGUGGAUGGUCUGCUCCCUUUAAAUGCAUUAGUGGGAUCUCUUGUGGACCGUCACUUGGUGUGAUAAUUAUCUAUGCCAUCUUGACUUUGAAGCAAACUAAUGGGAACCUGCUUAUAACCGUCCUUUCAGGACAACUCUUGACAUUUUGACCUCA
rnacentral:misc_RNA from 1 species